rnacentral:rRNA from 1 species
UACAGAGGUGGCAAGCGUUGUUCGGAAUUACUGGGCGUAAAGCGCGUGUAGGCGGCUCUUCAAGUCAGGCGUGAAAGCCCCGGGCUCAACUCGGGAACUGCGCUUGAUACUGUCGAGCUAGAGUGUGGAAGGGGCGAUUGGAAUUCCGUGUGUAGCGGUGAAAUGCGUAGAUAUGCGGAGGAACACCAAUGGCGAAGGCAAUCCCCUGGGCCUGUACUGACGCUCAUGCACGAGAGCGUGGGGAGCAAACAGGAUUAGAUACCCUAGUAGU